UUGCCUUUGUUUGUUGUGAUGUAUCAUCAGAGUUCUGUAAAUCGGAAUAACUUUGAGACAAGGCAGACUUAUUGACAUUUACAGCUUCUAUAGCUAUUGAGUUGGUCACACUGCCUUGUUUAACUAUCUCAGACUUUUGACAGUUAUCUUGUCGAAGUAAGUUCUGCGCAAUAUCAUCCUCUGAAGGAUUUACUGUUAUUUGAAUGACAGCAUUU
rnacentral:lncRNA from 1 species